rnacentral:lncRNA from 1 species
UUGAUUCGUGGAUCAAAACGAGACAAAUGUACAAACCUUAUCCAUAAUUUAACACUAAUUUUUCAGUUUCCCUCCACCAAAAUUUGUUCCCACUUAAACAAACUAAAUCUCGAAAUACCGAAAAUUCAAAAUGCCUAAAUCCUUAACUCUCUCUAAGCACUAACUAGUGGCAACCCCUCUCUCAGGCCUCAGUAGCACGCACUGCGAAAGCAGCACACACAGCCUGCACAGAAGCAGCCUAGCACGGUAGCACCACACGUAGUAGCACAUCGCUCGCUCUGACUCUCUCUCAACACGCACAAGCUGCUGUAGCAGCUCCUCUCUUAUACUCACUUAGUUGUUCUCAGCCUCCGAUCUCAGCUAUUGCCGUCAUAGCUUCAUUCAGCUGUUGCCAGCAUGCCGACCACCUGAGACAGUGAAUUGAGACUUUUUUUUUUUAAUUUUAAUUUUUCAUUAAUUGUUUCCUAAAUUAAAUUAACCAAAUACUCAAAUUAAUUGAGUUGAGAGGAAUACUGUAAAAAUUUAAUUCAAUAAAGUUUGUAAAAAAUUUUUAAUUUUUUUUUUCUUCCAGUUGGGUUGGUAAUUUCCACAACUCAAGAAUUCUUUUGGUGCUGAUUUUUCCAGUACUUUGCCUCUUAGAAAUUUUCCAUUACUUUGCCUCUUAGAAGGCAUCUGCUUUCUUGUCUUUCACUUUUAUCUUUCUUUGUUUCGAACGCAUGAUAAUGAAUGAUAAUUGUAGAAUCAGAAAAA